rnacentral:rRNA from 1 species
UACAGAGGGGGCAAGCGUUGUUCGGAAUUACUGGGCGUAAAGGGCGCGUAGGCGGCCUUCUAAGUCGAACGUGAAAGCCCGGGGCUCAACCCCGGGUCUGCCGUGCGAACUGCUAUGGCUUGAGCACUGUAGAGGCAGGUAGAAUUCCGGGUGUAGCGGUGGAAUGCGUAGAGAUCCGGAAGAAUACCGGUGGCGAAGGCGGCCUGCUGGGCAGUGGCUGACACUGAGGCGCGACAGCGUGGGGAGCAAACAGG